GAAAUGCGAUAAGUAAUGUGAAUUGCAGAAUUCCGUGAAUCAUCGAAUCUUUGAACGCACAUUGCGCCCUCUGGUAUUCCGGGGGGCAUGCCUGUCCGAGCGUCAUUGCGAACCCCUCAAGCACGGCUUGUGUGAUGGGCCCUCCCGCGUCUUGGUCGUCAAGACGGGCCCGAAAUGCAGUGGCGGCUUCGCGGUUAUCCGAUCAGCCAGAGCGUAUGGGGACUCUCUCUCUUGUCACACGCCCGCGGCGCGGACAGACGCCUGUCGACCUUAUUCAUCUUCUAUCGGUUGACCUCGGAUCAGGUAGGGAUACCCGCUGAACUUAAGC
rnacentral:misc_RNA from 1 species